rnacentral:piRNA from 1 species
UGGGAAAAUGGCAUUUAGAAGGGAGAC